CCUCUUCCUUCCUUCUUCUCUUCCAUGAGAGGAUGAGAAUGAUGCUUUGACACCUUUAUAAAAUUUUUUUUUCUAUUAUUGCUCUACCAAACCAUCUCCCUCUUCACCUUCUUUCUCUUCUCCCUCAAGAGCUACAAUUUUGUUGGCAUCAAAAUCCCUUCUUUCUCUAUCCUCCUUUGAUUUCGAACUUUAUCACUGCAACUUCAUUGGAAGCCAUCAUCUUUGAUCGAGCUUUGCCAUCUCCACCAUCCUCUGGUAAAUUCUUCCUCAUCUUUCUAUUAUUCUUUUUACUAAGAAGAUUGCUGUCAAGAUCACUAAAUAUGCUAUUUUAUUAUUAUUAUUAUUAUUUCUAUCUUCCUCUGUACAUGCGAUCAGAGCACCACUACUCAAAGAGGCUAUAACUCUAUCACUAUCAGGCCGUAUUGCCCUAAUUGUUUCUCCUUUUUUUUUUUCCUCUCUUUUUCUCUCUUCCUUAUAGAUGCCUCACAUGUCUCUUUCUUUCUCAUUAUUUCUCUCACAGAAUUUUCUUGUACUCGGAUGAUUGGUAUAGAACCAACCACCUUCUUAUCUUUCUCUCUAACCUAAUUUAAUAAUCUUAGAUCAAGAUGAGCGCAGACCAUUAAAUCAGGGAUGCGCAUCGGGUUCUAAAAAUUUAUCCCAAGAUUGAGGUGUUUACAACUCUUUUUAUGAUUUUUAGAUUAGGAAUAGAUGAGAUUAGGAUAAUUGGCUUAGAUUUGGGAUGCGCACAGGACUCUUGGCCACUAGUCAAAUAGAUCUAAAGUCCUAUCCUUGAUGUAUAUCUUUCUCUUAUAUGUUUAAUUUUGAGUGAGCUCCAUGAUUCUAAGGACCCUUUAGAUGCUCAAGUUUUAAAUAGUAACAUAUGUGUCUUAGAUGUAAACCUAAUCUUUGAUUGUAAUUAUCUAGAUCGUGUAUAAUAUACUUUGGUGAUAAUUCUGUCUUGCAAGCUAAGGUAAGUUCCUCUAUCUAAUAUUCGAUUACAUAUAUAUGAAUUAAUUCUCUUUACAUAACUUGGUAGAAAAAUAUUAGCUUAACUUAAUAUUAAAUAAUAUCUAUAUAGAUUUUGAAUUAUGUUAUGUAUGCUCCAUAUAAGUAGAUUUUGAGUAAUUGGAUCUUAAAGUAAAACUUUGUGAGCAUGAACUAUCCUCUUUUACUAUUUUAAAAUAUUGUUAAAUUUAUUGAUUAUGAUGUAAUCUCUCUAAUUUGACUAUGAUCACACGGUUUCGGAUAUGAUCUUUUUUUGGAUCUCUAGUGAGGCGAUCACUGGCACAUGUUGAUGGACAAUAUAUUGUAGUUAGGAGCUAAUUUUCUUUUAAAUCACGCCAAUGGGGUGAUUAUUGGUACAUACUAUUAUAGACAUGUUUUUCAUGUGAUUUUAAAGCUAGUUCCUUUUUGGUCUGUAGUGGGACGAUCACUGGUGCAUGCAAAUGAGCGACAUAUUGUAGUCAGGAUCUAAAUUCUUUUAGGACUUACCACUGGCCAAUUGUGGCCAUAGUCAAAAAAACUAGGAGAGGAAGAGAGUUGAAUAAUUGAGUACAAUGAUUGAAAAUUAUAUUUUUUUCUUCUAUUGUUCAAAUAUGUUGAUAAUUUUGAAUACAUAUAUACUUUGUAUUGCUCAAUAUGUCUUAAAUUAUAAAUUAAAAAUUUUAAAGUAUGAUACUAUGAUUUAUGUGUAAAAUGCUUAACCGAAUAGUGUAUAGAGGUGACUUAUUAGGCUUUUAGCUCACUCCUAUUUUUGUUAUUUUUUUCAAAUAUCAACAUCUAGUGCGAAUAGGAUUGUAGAGUAUGAGCAGAAGGAUUAGGAUAUUGAAAUGUUUUCUUAUCUAAAAAUAAAUGUUAUGAAAUUAAACUGAUUCAGAUUUGAAAAUAAUAUUAGGCUUGUUUAUCUGAUCAAAAGUUCUAAAUAUUUUAGUUUACUUGCACUGGUACUACAUAAAUUUUUAGAUCUUGCAUGUUUUAUAAGUAAAAUCCUGUAAUAUAUAUGUGGUCGUUUGUCACAUGCUCGCUUGUGCUAGUAAGACGGGAUGUGAUACCAAAAGAUUUGAAUUGAGGCCAUAGUGAUGAAGGCUCUCUAACGAAACAAACAAGACAUAUAGAUGAUGCGCAUAGCAAAGGACCACCUUGGUGUAGAAAAAGCAGGACAUGCAGAUGAUGCUUAUAUCAUCGAAGUCUUCCUUGAUGCAGAGAAAAUGGAACAUCCAGAUGAUGUUUGCUACCGAGGUUCACCUUGAAGUCUUGAUCGUUCGAUGACGAAUAUAUCCGAAGAGAAGUUUCGAGUAUAAAGACUGAGGUGGUAUAACUCCAUAACACUUAUAAUAUUAAUUUAUAUAUAUAUAUAUAUAUAUAUAUAUAUAUAUAUAUAUAUAUAUAUAUAUAUAUAUAUAUAUAUAUAUAUAUAUAUAUAUAUNNNNNNNNNNNNNNNNNNNNACUAUAUAUUAUUAUAUAUAUAUAUAUAUAUAUAUAUAUAUAUAUAUAAUAUUUGGGGUUGUAUCUUUCGUACAAAGAAUAAUAGAUUUUUUUUUAUAUGUCAAUCAUUGGAUCAUGCUUAAUAUAUAUAUUUCAAAAUAUCUUAAAUAUUUUCAUUGAUCCAUUUGUAAAGCUCCCAAAGUGCUAAUUGCAAGAUCUAAAAUUUGUUUGAAGAAAGAAGGACCGUUCUUCGGAUAUAAACCCAUCAAUGCAUAUACUAACAUAAUGGAUGGAUGCUUUCCAAAAAAAAAAAAAGGAUGGAUGGAGUCAGAAUCCGUUAUAACAUCCGUUACUUGGAACCUCCUCGAUCUGAAAUGAGGGAGGGCCCACUUGAAAGAGCGAAGAGUUUGAUAGAUUUUUUUUCCUUCAUCACCAAUUAUUUGAGUGAGGGAUGGACCUCCUGAUAUGCUAUGAUGGACAGCACCAUGCUGCACCGUCGAAUCCUGAGACUGGACCAAAUCCGGCAGCGAAUCUUGUGACAUGUGGUUCGUGGGGUGUCUGGAUACGGUCCGUUAGGUACGGGUAAGUAGUACUGAUUUGUCUUUUUCCAUAAAUGUUACUUUAUUUAACGCCUAGUUACCUUUUCCUCCUUGCAAAAUUAGCAGCCAACAUUUAGCUACAGAGUUAAUUAAAUUCUUUAAAAUAAAAUAAAAAAAUAUCAUGAUCGUUUUCCGGAGGAUUCGCAAGCCGUCAAUUCGGCCUUUUGAUGACUCGACUUACCUUUGUUUUUUUUUUAAAUAUUUAUUUCCUAACUUUUCAAUACCUUAUCUGUAAAAAUUAUUUUUAUUUUUAUUUUAUAAUUUUUUAUGGAUAUGUGUCAACCCAUCUCUGAUUUUCUCAAAAAAAUAAAAAAAUCACUAAGUUCAAACUAAAUUUUUUUUUUAUCAGGACGAGCCACUCAAAUCUAAUACAACAUAUUGAACAAAAUUUAAAAAUAAAAUAUCAUAAAAAUAAUAUAGUUAAAUAAUCAAUCCAUAAUAUAUAUCUAUAAUGUUCAAUAAUAAAAGAGACAAUUCGAUAGAUAUAAUUUAAUUUUCGAUAGAUAUAAUUAGUCUGGAUAAUGAUACAAUCCCCGGCAUGAUAUCAAUAUCCUAUAGGAGGUGGUGUCCAAUCUCUAUCUUAGAGCUCUUCUGAAUCCAAUCAAUCACAAUAAUUUUACAAAAUUAUUUUACCCAUGGUUGUUAUACCAAAUCUCGUUAGAGGGAACUCAUGAUGGCCAGUGGCCAAAAAAAAUGAUAGUGAAAAUCAUCCAGCCUCACACUCACUGUAGACAUUUUUUUUUUUACUCUUUUCAGUCGUUAUAUACAUUUCCAUAAAAUUCUUGAUUGACUCUUGGAUAUCAGAAAAAAGAAUGUAAGGUCAAUGAAAAAAAAUGACAUAAAAAUAUAUGCUUUAAGAAGGGUGAUGUACUGAUAUAGCUCCGAGUUAGUAGUUCAUAGUUGCAUAUUGAAUUCAAUAAAAUUUAAUUUUAAAUAGAUAAAAUAAAUCCAAAAAUUUAGAUUUUAAAACAUAAUAUCAAUAUAAUAAGUAGAAAAAAAUUAGUUAAUAAUUAUUAUUUUUUUAUAGAUUAGUUAUUACAAGAAGACAACUCUCUAUGGACUAAAUGAUCAUUAUUUAUACAUAUAAUAUAACAAGAAAUAUUUAAAUAAUUAAACAAUAAAUGUAAUAUCAUAAGUGCAUAUUUCGUUGACAGAAGUUAGACUCUGAAAUAAAAAUAAAAUAAAUAAUUUCUAUUUAAACUACAUAGUUAGAAAAAAUUUUAUUAUUAUUCGAUUUUAAGAAAAUAAAAUUAUCUUAAUUUUUUGAUAUCUAUUUUUUAUUUUUUAAAUAUUUAAAAAAUUUUGAUUCAAAAUUAAAUAUAUUUGAAGAUAUAAUUAUUUUAAUUUUUAUUUCAAUACAUUUUGGCUCGCAAACCAAAUAAUGUGUAUGUCUAUAAAAUGUUUUUGUCGGACUAACUGUACAACAUUUGGCAUCUAUCAUAUCAUGGAUUGGGUAAGAGAAGAUGGCGUGUGGUGAAGGGCUGGGAAUGCGGGAUCCGCUCAAAGGCGGCUUCUACCGCAAAAGAGAAGCAGUGGGACCGCCAUUAAAGCUCGAAGCUAACACGUGCACGAUGGAGCGUUUCUGGUGCGAGUUUACUUGUGGUUUGGGCUCUCUCAUCGCGUAAAACUCGUGUCGUAUCGGGUGGUCAUACCGCCGACUCUAAUGUAAUCGGAAGGAUAUACUUGUUCUAUUUUUUAUAAAUAAAAAAUCUACGAAG
rnacentral:lncRNA from 1 species